UACGUAGGGGGCAAGCGUUGUCCGGAAUCAUUGGGCGUAAAGAGCGUGUAGGCGGUCCGGUAAGUCGGCUGUGAAAGUCCAGGGCUCAACCCUGGGAUGCCGGUCGAUACUGUCCGACUAGAGUACGAGAGAGGGAGGUAGAAUUCCAUGUGUAGCGGUGAAAUGCGUAGAUAUAUGGAGGAAUACCAGUGGCGAAGGCGGCCUCCUGGCUCGAUACUGACGCUGAGGUGCGAAAGCGUGGGGAUCAAACAGG
rnacentral:rRNA from 1 species